rnacentral:rRNA from 1 species
AUUGAACGCUGGCGGCAUGCCUUACACAUGCAAGUCGAACGGUAACAGGUCUUCGGAUGCUGACGAGUGGCGAACGGGUGAGUAAUACAUCGGAACGUGCCUAGUAGUGGGGGAUAACUACUCGAAAGAGUGGCUAAUACCGCAUGAGAUCUACGGAUGAAAGCAGGGGAUCGUAAGACCUUGUGCUACUAGAGCGGCCGAUGGCAGAUUAGGUAGUUGGUGGGAUAAAAGCUUACCAAGCCGACGAUCUGUAGCCGGUCUGAGAGGACGAUCAGCCACACUGGGACUGAGAAACGGCCCAGCCUCCUACGGGAGGCAGCAGUGGGGAAUUUUGGACAAUGGGCGCAAGCCUGAUCCAGCAAUGCCGCGUGCAGGAUGAAGGCCUUCGGGUUGUAAACUGCUUUUGUACGGAACGAAAAGCCCCGGGUUAAUACCCUGGGGUCAUGACGGUACCGUAAGAAUAAGCACCGGUUAACUACGUGCCAGCAGCCGCAGUAA